rnacentral:rRNA from 1 species
CAUGAAUUCGCCAAGCUUGCAUGCCUGCAGGUCGACUCUAGAGGAUCCAGAGUUUGAUCCUGGCUCAGAUUGAACGCUGGCGGCAGGCUUAACACAUGCAAGUCGAGCGGAAACGAGAAUAGCUUGCUAUUCGGCGUCGAGCGGCGGACGGGUGAGUAAUGCUUGGGAAUAUGCCUUUGAGUGGGGGACAACAAUUGGAAACGACUGCUAAUACCGCAUAACGUCUACGGACCAAAGGGGGGGAUCUUCGGACCUCUCGCUCAUUGAUUAGCCCAAGUGAGAUUAGCUAGUUGGUAAGGUAAUGGCUUACCAAGGCGACGAUCUCUAGCUGGUUUGAGAGGAUGAUCAGCCACGCUGGGACUGAGACACGGCCCAGACUCCUACGGGAGGCAGCAGUGGGGAAUAUUGCACAAAGGGCGAAAGCCUGAUGCAGCCAUGCCGCGUGUGUGAAGAAGGCCUUCGGGUUGUAAAGCACUUUCAGCGAGGAGGAAAGGGUGUUGUUUAAUACGCAACAUCUGUGACGUUACUCGCAGAAGAAGCACCGGCUAACUUCGUGCCAGCAGCCGCGGUAAUACGAGGGGUGCAGGCGUUAAUCGGAAUUACUGGGCGUAAAGCGUGCGUAGGUGGUUUGUUAAGCAAGAUGUGAAAGCCCCGGGCUCAACCUGGGAACUGCAUUUUGAACUGGCAACUAGAGUAUUGUAGAGGGUAGUGGAAUUUCCAGUGUAGCGGUGAAAUGCGUAGAGAUUGGAAGGAACAUCAGUGGCGAAGGCGGCUACCUGGACAAAUACUGACACUGAGGC